GGCCUGGUGGCGAAGUAGAAACGCAGUGGAUUGCAAACCCAUUAUUGCGCGGGUGCGAUUCCCGCCCAGGCCU
rnacentral:tRNA from 2 species